AUUGAACGCUGGCGGCAGGCCUAACACAUGCAAGUCGAGCGGAGCGGCGGACGGGUGAGUAAGGCCUAGGAAUCUGCCUGGUCGUGGGGGAUAACUUCCGGAAACGGGCGCUAACACCGCCUACUCUCAGAUGAGCCUAGGUGGGAUUAGCUAGUUGGUGGGGUAAAGGCUUACCAAGUCGACGAUCCGUAACUGGUCUGAGAGGAUGAUCAGUCACACUGGGACUGAGACACGGUCCAGACUCCUACGGGAGGCAGCAGUGGGGAAUAUUGGACAAUGGGCGAAAGCCUGAUGCAGCCAUGCCGCGUGUGUGAAGAAGGUCUUCGGAUUGUAAAGCACUUUAAGUUGGGAGGCGUUACCAACAGAAUAAGCACCGGCUAACUUCGUGCCAGCAGCCGCGGUAAUAC
rnacentral:rRNA from 1 species